CCUACGGGAGGCAGCAGUGGGGAAUAUUGGGCAAUGGGCGCAAGCCUGACCCAGCAACGCCGCGUGAGCGAUGAAGGUCUUCGGAUGGUAAAGCCCUGCCGCAGGGGACGAAGUAUGACGGUACCCUGUAAGAAAGCCCCGGCAAACUACGUGACAGCAGCCGCGGUAAUACGUAGGGGGCUAGCGUUGUCAGGAAUUACUGGGCGUAAGGGGAGUGUAGACGGCUUGUCAAGUUGAGUGUGAAAGCCUGCGGCUGAACCGUAGAAUUGCACUUAAAACUGACUCGCUAGAGUGCAGGAGAGGUGAGUGGAAUUCCUAGUGUAGCGGUGGAAUGCUUAGAUAUUAGGAGGAACACCAGAGGCGGAAGCGGCUCACUGGACUGUAACUGACGUUGAGGCUCGAAAGCGAGGGGAGCAAACAGGAUUAGAUACCCUUGUAGUC
rnacentral:rRNA from 1 species